UCUACUUUUAACAAUGGUCACCUUAAGCUCUG
rnacentral:piRNA from 1 species